AAAAAGUUUUGAAGUUCAGAUUUUUUCGUUUGAAUCACUUUUUUUUUUGAAGCUCAAAAAGUUUUGAAGUUCAAAUUUUUUCGAUUGAAUCAUUUUGGAACAAACGUACCGUGGUGGGCGGGUGCUUCUCUAUUGGUCAGACAUGUUUGAUUGACAAGUGUCUACACCAACGCCGUCUUUCUGACAAAGAAGUCUUGUUCGGCACUCCCCAGGCCAGACAGCUUUUUACCAGCAAGAGGGAACAGCGGUGAAGUUGUCGAAACCUACAAUGAACAGUAAAGCAGUUUGACUGAGGUUGGAGUGCUAGCAAUAGCUCAUUUCCAUCGAACCGAGGAUCGUCGUUUCUUCAUAAGGCGGGUUAGUUCAGGGCGGAGUGGCAGACCAUCUAUUGUUACCAGAGAGCACAUAGACGUCCUUAUGAAGCAAGGACAUACAAUCAAAAAAAAGGCAAAAAUGAUGGGAUGUUCCUCGUCGUUUUUGAACAACAAAUCAAAGCUGGUGGACCUACACAUAAGAGGAAGACUGUCUGCCUUAGAUGACAAUCAGCUGCAAGAGCGUGUGAGCACAUGGCAGGACCAGUAUCCAAACUCUGGGAAUGAGAUGAUGAGGGUGCUGCUUCGUGCUCAAGAUGUGAUUGUCACACGGGCCAGGGUACGCUAAAUGUUGGGAAGGACAAACCUGACAUCUGCUGCAAGAAGGUGGAGUCGGACUGUUGCAAGAUGGGGCUUUGUGAUACUUGGUGCCAUCGAAGGAUACCCGUGUGGGAUUACCUCAGCUGCAGUACAAACAAUAGGGCAACAACAGUACUCUGUCAGUUUUUGAAAGCAACAUCUUACUAUGGACUACCAUCAAGAGUCAGAUCAGACCAUGGGGAUGAAAACAUGCUGCUUGCUUUAUGCAUGCAUCUAGUUCAAGGGCUGGAACACAGAGGCUUCAUAACAGGAGAAUCAGUUCAUAAUCAGCGCAUAGAACACCUUUGGCAGGAUGUAUUUUUGCUUGUGCUGCAGCAUUUCUACCAUACAUUCUACUGUCUGGAGGACGCAGAGAAUCUUAACCCAGAUAAUGAUAUCCACAGACUUUCUUUACAUAUUGUAUAUCCACCUGAGAUUCAAAGGAGGCUGGAACAGUUCAGACAUGCUUGGUACCACCAUGGUUUGCCCACAGAAAGUAAUCACACAGCAGCUCGUCUGUAAUUCUGAUGCAGAAUACAUUUGACAAUUAUUGACAUUUAAUCAUUCUUUUGCACAUUGCCAUUAUCACUUUAUUUUAGAUCUGUAAAUAUUUAUAUAUAUAUAUAUAU